CGAAAUCUGCGGAGACAGCCCUAAGCGAUCCCGUCCGCAGCCACCGGGCCCUGGCGGCGGCGUCCAACUUUUAGACGGGAGGGACUCCUUGACUGCCUGGCCCGCGGUUCUGUUCCAGAGACUGAGCGCACUUUGCUCUUCUCGGUGUUUUACAUUAUCCGGGAGAGGGCAAAGACGGAGGGCGGGCCGGGGCAGACCGCGGGUGGCAGGCAUCGCAGCUCGCGCGCUGAAGAACGGCACUGCUGGCGGCCAGGGGCGUGCGGAGGAGGCGGUAAACACACACGCACUCCCGGACUCGCACACUCGGACACACACGCACUCACGCGCACCCCAGCGCAAGGGCCAUCCUUCGGCGAGACCUGUUUAGUAAUAAACCCCCGAGGGACGGAGCGUGAGGGGCCGCGCCGCAGACCAGGACUCUGUGGAUAA
rnacentral:lncRNA from 1 species